UACGAAGGGGGCUAGCGUUGCUCGGAAUCACUGGGCGUAAAGCGCACGUAGGCGGAUUGCUAAGUCAGGGGUGAAAUCCUGGAGCUCAACUCCAGAACUGCCUUUGAUACUGAGGGGCUCGAGUCCGGGAGAGGUGAGUGGAACUGCGAGUGUAGAGGUGAAAUUCGUAGAUAUUCGCAAGAACACCAGUGGCGAAGGCGGCUCACUGGCCCGGUACUGACGCUGAGGUGCGAAAGCGUGGGAGCAACAGG
rnacentral:rRNA from 1 species